UACGGGGGGGGCAAGCGUUGUUCGGAAUUAUUGGGCGUAAAGGGCUCGUAGGCGGCCAACUAAGUCAGACGUGAAAUCCCCAGGCUCAACCUGGGAACUGCGUCUGAUACUGGAUGGCUUGAAUUCGGGAGAGGGAUGCAGAAUUCCAGGUGUAGCGGUGAAAUGCGUAGAUAUCUGGAGGAAUACCGGUGGCGAAGGCGGUCCCCUGGGCCGGAACUGACGCUGAGGCGCGAAAGCGUGGGUAGCAAACGGG
rnacentral:rRNA from 1 species